rnacentral:tRNA from 1 species
UCGGCGCUCUGCACCGGCCGGCCGGCGAGCAGGUUGAACGCCUGCCCGGGCAGCCGGGCGCCGAUCUCCUCGGCGUGCGCCAGG